rnacentral:rRNA from 1 species
GACGAACGCUGGCGGCGUGCUUAACACAUGCAAGUCGAACGGAAAGGCCCUGCUCUUGUGGGGUGCUCGAGUGGCGAACGGGUGAGUAACACGUGAGUAACCUGCCCUUGACUUUGGGAUAACUUCAGGAAACUGGGGCUAAUACCCGAUAGGAGCUCCUGCUGCAUGGUGGGGGUUGGAAAGUUUCGGCGGUUGGGGAUGGACUCGCGGCUUAUCAGCUUGUUGGUGGGGUAGUGGCUUACCAAGGCUUUGACGGGUAGCCGGCCUGAGAGGGUGACCGGCCACAUUGGGACUGAGAUACGGCCCAGACUCCUACGGGAGGCAGCAGUGGGGAAUAUUGCGCAAUGGGCGGAAGCCGGGUGCAGCAACGCCGCGUGCGGGAUGACGGCCUUCGGGUUGUAAACCGCUUUCGCCUGUGACGAAGCGUGAGUGACGGUAAUGGGUAAAGAAGCACCGGCUAACUAUGUG